CAGUCGCCGCGGGAAUACGUAGGGUGCAAGCGUUAAUCGGAAUUACUGGGCGUAAAGCGUGCGCAGGCGGUUAUUCAAGACAGAUGUGAAAUCCCCGGGCUCAACCUGGGAACUGCAUUUGUGACUGGAUGACUAGAGUACGGCAGAGGGGGAUGGAAUUCCGCGUGUAGCAGAGAAAUGCGUAGAUAUGCGGAGGAACACCGAUGGCGAAGGCAAUCCCCUGGGCCUGUACUGACGCUCAUGCACGAAAGCGUGGGGAGCAAACAGGAUUAGAUACCCCGGUAGUCCCUGUCUCUUAUAC
rnacentral:rRNA from 1 species